rnacentral:rRNA from 1 species
UACGUAGGGGCCGUGCGUUGUCCGGAGUUAUUGGGCGUAAAGCGCGCGCAGGCGGCCUCGCGCGCCCGACGUGAAAGCCCCCGGCUUAACCGGGGAGGGUCGUUGGGGACGGCGGGGCUUGAGGGCGGGAGAGGUCGGUGGAAUUCCCGGUGUAGUGGUGAAAUGCGUAGAGAUCGGGAGGAACACCUGUGGCGAAGGCGGCCGACUGGGCCGACCCUGACGCUGAGGCGCGAAGGCGUGGGGAGCGAACGGG